rnacentral:rRNA from 1 species
GGGCCGUGGUAUACUGACCAUGCGAAGGUAGCAUAAUCAUUAGCCUUUUGAUUUGAGGCUGGAAUGAAUGGUCUGACGAGAGGCAACCUGUCUCCUUAAUUAACUUGAAUUUAAUCUUUAAGUGAAAAAGCUUAAAUAGCCUUGGAGGACGAUAAGACCCUAUAGAUCUUUACAUCCGGCUUUUUCAUCUAACGGUGGGUAAUCGGGUGGAAGAGGAGGAUGUUUGGUUGGGGCGACGUCGAGAGGGGAAUAAACACUCGAGAAUAUACAUACAUCAAUAAAUGAUCAUUGAUCCUUAGAUGAAAAUAGAGUAAGUUACCUUAGGGAUAACAGCGUAAUUCUUUUUGAGAGCUCAAAUCGACAAAAGAGUUUGCGACCUCGAUGUUGGUUCAGGGACCCUAUUUGGUGCAGCAGCUUAAUCAGGUAGUCUGUUCGACUAUUAAACCCCUACGUGAUCUGAUUCA